GAUGAACGCUGGCGGCGUGCCUAAUACAUGCAAGUCGAGCGAACAGACGAGGAGCUUGCUCCUUUGACGUUAGCGGCGGACGGGUGAGUAACACGUAGGUAACCUACCUAUAAGACUGGGAUAACUUCGGGAAACCGGAGCUAAUACCGGAUAAUAUUUCGAACCGCAUGGUUCGAUAGUGAAAGAUGGCUUUGCUAUCACUUAUAGAUGGACCUGCGCCGUAUUAGCUAGUUGGUAAGGUAACGGCUUACCAAGGCAACGAUACGUAGCCGACCUGAGAGGGUGAUCGGCCACACUGGAACUGAGACACGGUCCAGACUCCUACGGGAGGCAGCAGUAGGGAAUCUUCCGCAAUGGGCGAAAGCCUGACGGAGCAACGCCGCGUGAGUGAUGAAGGUCUUCUGAUCGUAAAACUCUGUUAUUAGGGAAGAACAAACGUGUAAGUAACUGUGCACGUCUUGACGGUACCUAAUCAGAAAGCCACGGCUAACUACGUG
rnacentral:rRNA from 1 species